rnacentral:lncRNA from 10 species
GUGCUUGGAGAAUUUUGCCGCAUUCCUAGAUUGCUAGACCAGGAAGCUAUGACCAACGAAGGGAGACACAGGAGCUCAUGCCACAUGUGAAGGGACAGAGCAGAAACAUCUGCUGAGGGAGAUGUCACCGUGCUGGGGACUUUCAUGCCACCCAUUCAGUGAAUCCUCCCAACCACUUUGUGAGGAAGGUAUCAUCGUCUCUAUUUUCCCGGAUGAGGAGCGAGAGGCUUGGAGAAGUAAAGUUACUCGUCUAAGGGGACCCAGCCAGACAGGGGGUGAGCUAGCACUUGAACCCAGCUCCUUCUGGCUGAGAUGCCUUCACCCUUCUACUGUAGGACCCACCACCUCCCUCCACCCCUUCAUCAUCACCAUCAAUGCUCCAGGGUGUUUCGUGGGAGGCACAUUGCUAAGGGCAGUGUCUCAGGGUUACUCUUCACCUGUGAGGUGGAGGGAUGAGGGGGUGAGGAGACUGAGGCUCAGAGACGUUGCUACCUGCCCCAGGUCACACGGCUCUGGCAUGGUGGAACUGAGAUAGGCACACGGUCCUGCUGGGUUCCAGUGCUCUGAUCCUGAACAGCCACACCACCUCGCCUCUCCUCCGGUCCUUGGUUAGCCUCCUCUGAACACCACGGUGCAUCUUUGGGGUAGCAUUUGUGAACGCAAAAAGUGUCAACUUUUCUUUCCUUUUUUUUUUUUAAGAGAUGGAAUUUCACUCUUGUCGCCCAGGUUGGAGUGCAAUGGCGUGAUCUCGGCUCACUGCAACCACUGCCUCCAGGGUUCAA